AUUUCGAGACACAGGCGCUUUUCCAUCGUAAAAGAAACGUUAUCGAAUUCUGCCGUGUUUACAGCCAUGCCAAUGCAGCAUGAGUUCGACACGAAUGGCCAUAAAAAGUUAGUAGCAACAACGCAGUUUUAUACAGUGCGGAUCAGUCCUUAGAGCAGUGCAGUUAAAUUCUCAAGUCACGUUUGAAAAUUCUGGUUGCGUGCGAAUUCAAUUUGUUCUUAGAGCCUUAAAGGUGAUGCGAAGUUGAUGGAAACGAACGUUGGCAAAGCACAGACGUGGAACAUUCAACAGCUGUACCGCAGGAUGAGAAAAAAGUGCAACAGGCGCCAAGGAACACCCUGAAGUAUUAUUUUAAUAGAUUUAGCCCAACUUGAAAGUUGAUGGAGAUAUAAACGCGAUGAAUAUGGACGACGACUAAUUCGAAUACAGAAUUUGCUAAUUUUAACUAAUUAGUAACAGUUUAAUUAUCUGGUGAAUUAAUUUCCUAAAGAACAGUCAGCUCUUGUGCUUUUGAAAAUUACACUAAAAAUAAAAUGCUAGUUGUUAAACUGUUAGUUGUAUUUGUCAUCUAUUAUUCCGAUAAAAUUUUGUUCAUCUCUGCCACCAGCCAAUUACUGCCGAGUAAUUGGAAACUGUUCGAACUAUUAAUAGGGUCACGUGCAAGGCUGUAUUUGCCAGAAAAGCUUUGCUGAUGAGCCCAACUAACACAUUAGGGACGAAAAGCACGUUUAUCUUUAAUAAUCGAAAUAAGUGAAUUAUAAGUCUCAAUAAUUCCUUAAUAACUAAUAAUUCUAAAAAUUUUGGCAUGCAGAAGUUUUAAAGUUUGAUAUGCAAAAAUUGAAUUUUAAGGAGAAAGGUCUUCUAAGUUUUCAAUGUUUAACUCUGAAAUUAAACGUCCUAUGAAUGAGCUGUCAAUAUAAAAAAGUUUCGUUUUGUCAUUCUCUAUAAGGUGAUAUUUUGUUUAAUAUUCACACCU